UACGAAGGGGGCUAGCGUUGCUCGGAAUCACUGGGCGUAAAGGGCGCGUAGGCGGCCGUUCAAGUCGGGGGUGAAAGCCUGUGGCUCAACCACAGAAUUGCCUCGAUACUGUACGGCUCGAGACCGGAAGAGGUGAGUGGAACUGCGAGUGUAGAGGUGAAAUUCGUAGAUAUUCGCAAGAACACCAGUGGCGAAGGCGGCUCACUGGUCCGGUUCUGACGCUGAGGCGCGAAAGCGUGGGGAGCAAACAGG
rnacentral:rRNA from 1 species